CCUACGUGUGGCAGCAGUCGGGAAUAUUGCGCAAUGGAGGAAACUCUGACGCAGUGACGCCGCGUGCAGGAAGAAGGUUUUCGGAUUGUAAACUGCUUUAGACAGGGAAGAAAAAAGACAGUACCUGUAGAAUAAGCUCCGGCUAACUACGUGGCAGCAGCCGAGGUAAUACGGAGGGGGCAAGCGUUAUCCGGAUUUACUGGGUGUAAAGGGGGCGCAGACGGGGAUGCAAGCCAGGAGGGAAAGCCCGGGGGCCCACCCCGGCACAGCUCUUGGAACUGCGUGGCUGGAGUGCAGGAGGGGCAGGCGGAAUGCGUGGUGUAGCGGUGAAAUGCGUAGAUAUCAGGAGGAACACCGGUGGCGAAGGCGGCCUGCUGGACUGCAACUGACGUUGAGGCCCGAAAGCGUGGGGAGCAAACAGGAUUAGAUACCCCAGUAGUC
rnacentral:rRNA from 1 species